UGCGCAAUGGGCGAAAGCCUGACGCAGCAACGCCGCGUGGGGGAUGAAGMUUUUCGGAUCGAAACCCCUCUCGAUCGGAACGAAUCUCCUCCUGGUAAAUAAUCAGGAGGAUCGACGGUACCGAGAGAAGAAGCCACGGRUAACUCUGUGCCAGCAGCCGCGGUAAGACAGAGGUGGCGAGCGUUGUUCGGAUUUAUUGGGCGUAAAGCGAACGCAGGUGGUUCGGUAAGUCAGGGGUSAAAGUCCACAGCUUAACUGUGGCACUGCCUUUGAUACUACCUUUCUUGAGUGCAUGAGGGGGAAGCGGAAUUCCGAGCGUAGAGGUGAAAUUCGUAGAUAUUCGGAGGAACACCGGUGGCGAAGGCGGCUCCCUGGCAUGUAACUGACACUCAUGUUCGAAAGCGUGGGGAGCAAACAGGAUUAGAUACCCUGGUAGUCCACGCCCUAAACGAUGGGCACUAGGUGUGGGAGGUAUCGACCCCUCCCGUGCCGCAGAACGCAUUAAGUGCCCCGCCUGGGGAGUACGGCCGCAAGGUGAAACUCAAAUGAAUUGACGGAAUCCCGCGCCAUGGCGGCCG
rnacentral:rRNA from 1 species